GUCUACAGUCAUGCCACCCUGAACGUGCCCGAUCUCGUCUGAUCUCGGAAGCUAAGCAGGGUUGGGUCUGGUUAGUACUUGGAUGGGAGACUGUCUAGGAAUACCAGGUGCUGUAGGUG
rnacentral:rRNA from 1 species